GACUCUUGACAACUAAUAUCUCGGCUCUCGCAUCGAUGAAGAAGGUAGCGAAAUGCGAUGCUUGGUGUGAAUUGCAGAAUCUCGUGAACCAUCGAGUCUUUGAAUGCAAGUUGUGCCUGAAGCCAUUUGGCCGAGGGCACGUCUGCAUGGGCGUCA
rnacentral:rRNA from 1 species